GACGAACGCUGGCGGCGUGCCUAAUACAUGCAAGUAGAACGCUGAAGAGAGGAGCUUGCUCUUCUUGGAUGAGUUGCGAACGGGUGAGUAACGCGUAGGUAACCUGCCUUGUAGCGGGGGAUAACUAUUGGAAACGAUAGCUAAUACCGCAUAACAAUGGAUGACACAUGUCAUUUAUUUGAAAGGGGCAAUUGCUCCACUACAAGAUGGACCUGCGUUGUAUUAGCUAGUAGGUGAGGUAACGGCUCACCUAGGCGACGAUACAUAGCCGACCUGAGAGGGUGAUCGGCCACACUGGGACUGAGACACGGCCCAGACUCCUACGGGAGGCAGCAGUAGGGAAUCUUCGGCAAUGGGGGCAACCCUGACCGAGCAACGCCGCGUGAGUGAAGAAGGUUUUCGGAUCGUAAAGCUCUGUUGUAAGUCAAGAACGAGUGUGAGAGUGGAAAGUUCACACUGUGACGGUAGCUUACCAGAAAGGGACGGCUAACUACGUGCCAGCAGCCGCGGUAAUACGUAGGUCCCGAGCGUUGUCCGGAUUUAUUGGGCGUAAAGCGAGCGCAGGCGGUUUGAUAAGUCUGAAGUUAAAGGCUGUGGCUCAACCAUAGUUUGCUUUGGAAACUGCCAAACUUGAGUGCAGAAGGGGAGAGUGGAAUUCCAUGUGUAGCGGUGAAAUGCGUAGAUAUAUGGAGGAACACCGGUGGCGAAAGCGGCUCUCUGGUCUGUAACUGACGCUGAGGCUCGAAAGCGUGGGGAGCGAACAGGAUUAGAUACCCUGGUAGUCCACGCCGUAAACGAUGAGUGCUAGGUGUUGGAUCCUUUCCGGGAUUCAGUGCCGCAGCUAACGCAUUAAGCACUCCGCCUGGGGAGUACGACCGCAAGGUUGAAACUCAAAGGAAUUGACGGGGGCCCGCACAAGCGGUGGAGCAUGUGGUUUAAUUCGAAGCAACGCGAAGAACCUUACCAGGUCUUGACAUCCCGAUGCUAUUUCUAGAGAUAGAAAGUUACUUCGGUACAUCGGUGACAGGUGGUGCAUGGUUGUCGUCAGCUCGUGUCGUGAGAUGUUGGGUUAAGUCCCGCAACGAGCGCAACCCCUAUUGUUAGUUGCCAUCAUUCAGUUGGGCACUCUAGCGAGACUGCCGGUAAUAAACCGGAGGAAGGUGGGGAUGACGUCAAAUCAUCAUGCCCCUUAUGACCUGGGCUACACACGUGCUACAAUGGUUGGUACAACGAGUUGCAAGUCGGUGACGGCAAGCUAAUCUCUUAAAGCCAAUCUCAGUUCGGAUUGUAGGCUGCAACUCGCCUACAUGAAGUCGGAAUCGCUAGUAAUCGCGGAUCAGCACGCCGCGGUGAAUACGUUCCCGGGCCU
rnacentral:rRNA from 1 species